AACGAACGCUGGCGGCAGGCUUAACACAUGCAAGUCGAACGGGCCCUUCGGGGUCAGUGGCAGACGGGUGAGUAACGCGUGGGAACGUGCCCUUCAGUUCGGGAUAACCCAGGGAAACUUGGGCUAAUACCGGAUACGUGCGAGAGCAGAAAGAUUUAUCGCUGAAGGAUCGGCCCGCGUCUGAUUAGCUGGUUGGUAGGGUAAUGGCCUACCAAGGCGACGAUCAGUAGCUGGUCUGAGAGGAUGAUCAGCCACAUUGGGACUGAGACACGGCCCAAACUCCUACGGGAGGCAGCAGUGGGGAAUAUUGGACAAUGGGCGCAAGCCUGAUCCAGCCAUGCCGCGUGAGUGAUGAAGGCCUUAGGGUUGUAAAGCUCUUUCGGUGGGGACGAUAAUGACGGUACCCACAGAAGAAGCCCCGGCUAACUUCGUGCCAGCAGCCGCAGUAAAAC
rnacentral:rRNA from 1 species